rnacentral:rRNA from 1 species
UCCUACGGGAGGCAGCAGUAAGGAAUAUUGGUCAAUGGACGCAAGUCUGAACCAGCCAUGCCGCGUGAAGGAUGAAGGUCCUCUGGAUUGUAAACUUCUUUUAUAUGGGAAGAAAUCCAUCUUUUCUUGGGUGGUUGACGGUACCAUAGGAAUAAGCACCGGCUAACUCCGUGCCAGCACCCGCGGUAAUA